UACGAAGGGGGCGAGCGUUGUUCGGAUUUACUGGGCGUAAAGGGCGCGCAGGCGGCGUAUCAAGUCAGGCGUGAAAGCCCCGGGCUUAACCUGGGAACUGCGUCUGGGACUGAUAUGCUAGAGAUCGGGAGAGGAGAGUGGAAUUCCCAGUGUAGAGGUGAAAUUCGUAGAUAUUCGCAAGAACACCAGUGGCGAAGGCGGCUCACUGGCCCGAUACUGACGCUGAGGUGCGAAAGCGCGGGGAGCAAACAGG
rnacentral:rRNA from 1 species